GACGAACGCUGGCGGCGUGCUUAACACAUGCAAGUCGAACGGAAAGGCCCUGCUUUUGUGGGGUGCUCGAGUGGCGAACGGGUGAGUAACACGUGAGUAACCUGCCCUUGACUUUGGGAUAACUUCAGGAAACUGGGGCUAAUACCGGAUAGGAGCUCCUGCUGCAUGGUGGGGGUUGGAAAGUUUCGGCGGUUGGGGAUGGACUCGCGGCUUAUCAGCUUGUGGGUGGGGUAGUGGCUUACCAAGGCUUUGACGGGUAGCCGGCCUGAGAGGGUGACCGGCCACCUUGGUACUGGGGUACGGCCCAGACUCCUACGGGAGGCAGCAGUGGGGAAUAUUGCCCAAUGGGCGGAAGCCUGAUGCAGCAACGCCGCGUGCGGGAUGACGGCCUUCGUGUUGUAAACCGCUUUCGCCUGUGACGAAGCGUGAGUGACGGUAAUGGGUAAAGAAGCACCGGCUAACUACGCG
rnacentral:rRNA from 1 species